rnacentral:rRNA from 1 species
UACGGAGGGUGCGAGCGUUGUCCGGAAUCACUGGGCGUAAAGGGCUCGUAGGCGGCCAACUAAGUCGGACGUGAAAUCCCCAGGCUCAACCUGGGAACUGCGUCUGAUACUGGAUGGCUUGAAUCCGGGAGAGGGAUGCAGAAUUCCAGGUGUAGCGGUGAAAUGACGUAGAUAUCUGGAGGAAUACCGGUGGCGAAGGCGGCAUCCUGGACCGGCAUUGACGCUGAGGAGCGAAAGCCAGGGGAGCAAAGCGGG